CCUACGGGAGUCUGCAGUGGGGAAUAUUGGACAAUGGGCGAAAGCCUGAUCCAGCCAUGCCGCGUGUGUGAAGAAGGCCUUCGGGUUGUAAAGCACUUUCAGUGGGGAAGAAAGCCUUGGGGCUAAUACCCUCGAGGAAGGACAUCACCCACAGAAGAAGCACCGGCUAACUCCGUGCCAGCAGCCGCGGUAAUACGGAGGGUGCGAGCGUUAAUCGGAAUUACUGGGCGUAAAGCGCGCGUAGGCGGUCUGAUAAGCCGGUUGUGAAAGCCCCGGGCUCAACCUGGGAACGGCAUCCGGAACUGUCAGGCUAGAGUGCAGGAGAGGAAGGUAGAAUUCCCGGUGUAGCGGUGAAAUGCGUAGAGAUCGGGAGGAAUACCAGUGGCGAAGGCGGCCUUCUGGACUGACACUGACGCUGAGGUACGAAAGCGUGGGUAGCAAACAGGAUUAGAUACCCCAGCAGUC
rnacentral:rRNA from 1 species